rnacentral:rRNA from 1 species
UACGUAGGGUGCAAGCGUUGUCCGGAAUUAUUGGGCGUAAAGAGCUCGUAGGCGGUCUGUCGCGUCUGCUGUGAAAACUCAGGGCUUAACCCUGAGCUUGCAGUGGAUACGGGUAGACUAGAGGCAGGUAGGGGAGAAUGGAAUUCCCGGUGUAGCGGUGAAAUGCGCAGAUAUCGGGAGGAACACCGGUGGCGAAGGCGGUUCUCUGGGCCUGACCUGACGCUGAGGAGCGAAAGCGUGGGGAGCGAACAGG